rnacentral:rRNA from 1 species
UGACUUUCCGUAGGUGAACCUGCGGAAGGAUCAUUA